AAAAAAAAUGUCCCAGCUAAAACAAAAACUUCAUUAUCGGUCGAUCGAGAUUCAAUAGCGAAUUUCAUAGAGAAUCCACGUAUUUCGUCUUCGUUUAUACUUUGUGGUUCGCCAAUUGUUAGUUCUAAAAAGAGAUCUUCGUCAAUCUCAUUGAAGAACCCAGAUUAAUUUGGAUUAUGACUAACUGUAUGAUGGUUUGCCAAAAGAAGAGGAACCAGAACCACGAAGAUAAGUUGUUUCACGAUUAUUAGGAAAAAUUCUUUCAUUUUCCAAAAUUGUCACAUUUCUAUGAUACAAAACUCAAUGUCUGCAGGCCAAAUAUCAUUUGGGAGUCUAUUUCUUAUGGAGGAUUUAAUAUUGAAGAUUCAUUUUGGAGCAUGUUGGAAAAUCUAAAUGCCAAGCAUCACUUGGUAGCUGAAUUCUUAUGGAGGAGGGAGAUUUGGUCAUGUCUUUGGAGCUUUUUCAGAAAACUAAAUGUAAAAGGUUAGCCGGAUGUUAAGGAUAAUGAUCAUGUUUAUUUGAUAACAAUAUAUAUAUAACAAUAUAUUAUUAGAUGAAUAACUGUACAUGAAAGAGGUUUAAAAUUAAAAAUGAAAUAGUAAGUUACUUGAUUAUUAUGCUCUUUGGAGCUAUAUUUUCUAAUUUUAUGUUAAAAUGAUUAUAGUAAGUUGCUUGAUUUCCUAUACUAUAACUUAUCCUAUUGUUUGAUAAGCAGUAAUAACCUUACUGCUUCU